AGAGUUUGAUCCUGGCUCAGGACGAACGCUGGCGGCGUGCUUAACACAUGCAAGUCGAACGAUGAAGCCGCAGCUUGCUGUGGUGGAUUAGUGGCGAACGGGCGAGUAACACGUGAGUAACCUGUCCUUUUCUUUGGGAUAACGGCUGGAAACGGCUGCUAAUACUGGAUAUUCAGGCUGCAUCGCAUGGUGUGGUUUGGAAAGGUUUUUUCUGGGAUUGGGUGGGCUCGCGGCCUAUCAGCUUGUUGGUGGGGUGAUGGCUUACCAAGGCUUUGACGGGUAGCCGGCCUGAGAGGGUGGUCGGUCGCACUGGGACUGAGAUACGGCCCAGACUCCUACGGGAGGCAGCAGUGGGGAAUAUUGCACAAUGGACGAAAGUUUGAUGCAGCGACGCCGCGUGGAGGGUGUAGGCCUUCGGGUUGUGAACUCCUUUUUCUCGCGAAAAAGGCACAGUUUUGGCUGUGUUGAUGGUAGUGGGGGAAGAAGCGCCGGCUAACUACGUGCCAGCAGCCGCGGUAAUACGUAGGGCGCGAGCGUUGUCCGGAUUUAUUGGGCGUAAAGAGCUCGUAGGUGGUUCGUCGCGUCUGUCGUGAAAGCCAGCAGCUUAACUGUUGGUCUGCGGUGGGUACGGGCGGGCUUGAGUGCGGUAGGGGUGACUGGAAUUCCUGGUGUAGCGGUGGAAUGCGCAGAUAUCAGGAGGAACACCGAUGGCGAAGGCAGGUCACUGGGCCGUUACUGACACUGAGGAGCGAAAGCGUGGGGAGCGAACAGGAUUAGAUACCCUGGUAGUCCACGCUGUAAACGUUGGGAACUAGGUGUGGGGAUGCUAUCCUGUGUUUCUGCGCCGUAGCUAACGCAUUAAGUUCCCCGCCUGGGGAGUACGGUCGCAAGGCUAAAACUCAAAGGAAUUGACGGGGGCCCGCACAAGCGGCGGAGCAUGCGGAUUAAUUCGAU
rnacentral:rRNA from 1 species